rnacentral:rRNA from 1 species
UACGAAGGGUGCAAGCGUUACUCGGAAUUACUGGGCGUAAAGCGUGCGUAGGUGGUUCGUUAAGUCUGAUGUGAAAGCCCUGGGCUCAACCUGGGAAUGGCAUUGGAAACUGGCGACCUAGAGUGCGGUAGAGGGCAGUGGAAUUCCCGGUGUAGCAGUGAAAUGCGUAGAGAUCGGGAGGAACAUCUGUGGCGAAGGCGACUGCCUGGACCAGCACUGACACUGAGGCACGAAAGCGUGGGGAGCAAACCGG